CCCAGAUAACGCAGCUAUUAUUACAGAACUUGCUAUAUAAGAAUGUCUUGGAGCUUCUUUGAACAUCUUUGGUCUUGAAUUUACUCAAAAUAUCUGCCAACAAGAAAACAGAAAACAACAGGUGAGCUAUUUAGUAGUAAGAUCAAGUCUGGAAAGAAACAUGCAUGAAAAUUAAGAAGAGCUAGAGUAUGGAUGCCCAAACAGUUUUCGUGCACGUCAUGCCAAGUUAGGCAACACGUAGAAUGCAUAUGGGCCAUAAAAAUGAUCAAAUGAGGAAGGGAUGAAGCCAAACAAUGGUUCCUCCUUACAAUGAUCACAUUUAGAUAACAACGACCUACUACAGUUCAUGUUACAACAACACUAGUUCAUGUGAGAAACACACAGGGUCCAAAGUACAAACCAAAAACAAUCUGACUUGGAAUAUGAUGUCCACCUUAUAGUACUACAUCAUCAUCAGGAUUAAAACAACACAUUUAUAGUCAGAGUGUUGGAUGAGACAAAUAUCAAUUGAAAAAAAGACAAGGUAGCAUCAAAUCAGGUUAUAGUUUGUGGGAAUCAAUGCACACAGCAUGAACGACAAGGUAGCAUCAAAUCAGAUGAUGAUUGCAUACAUACAAAUCAUGUGCUGGCAGAAAAAAAUCCAAGCAGGAUCUCAUCUUCCCUCUCUGUUUGGUAACUAACAACCUAAAUAAAAUAAAAUAAAAACAUGACUUGUUCAUACAGAUCCCUCUAAAAUUCCUUGGGACAAGUGCAUCACAUAUUCAUCAACUUAGCAGCAGAAGUAGUGAGCACGGGAAGAGGGGGAGGGAGAUGGAGGAGCUACCUGCCGUGGUCGCAAUGGAAGCAGAGGAGCAGACCCCUCCUGCCCCUCCCCCACGAGCAGGACAGGGCUGCCGGCUGGGCAUGCCCCUACUCCUCCGCCUCCUUGAUCAGGAGACCCCC
rnacentral:lncRNA from 1 species